UACGUAGGGUGCGAGCGUUAAUCGGAAUUACUGGGCGUAAAGCGUGCGCAGGCGGUUCGUUAAGUCAGAUGUGAAAGCCCCGGGCUCAACCUGGGAAUGGCAUUUGGGACUGCAAGGCUUGAGUGCGGCAGAGGAGACUGGAAUUCCUGGUGUAGCGGUGAAAUGCGCAGAUAUCAGGAGGAACACCGGUGGCGAAGGCGGGUCUCUGGGCCGAUACUGACGCUGAGGAGCGAAAGCGUGGGGAGCGAACAGG
rnacentral:rRNA from 1 species